UAGUUAAGUAUCUAGGCAAGGCUAAAGGCUUUGUUGUUGUAUCCAGGCAAGAUCCCUAACAUGGCACAACGAAAUUCAUAGAAUUCAGCGACUAGUCCAAAACCGAUUGGAGAAAGUGAAUACAACAUUAAGAUCAUGAGUUUAACAAUAGCAAAUUUUAGAGGAAAAAUGCAACUCCUCAGAAGAAGCAACGUCAAAACCUGAAUUGGUGACAAAACUAUAUUGCUAACAUCCUGGUUCUAACAUUAGGAGAAUCAUAAUUAUAUUAAUUUUUUUUUAAUUGAAAUGAUUUUCAUUAAAUAGGCUAUAUGGAGGUGAGAAGAGAAAGAAAUGAGAACUAAUAAGGAACAGUAACGCCCUAAUUCUAGUGACAACAGAAUUUGAAAAAAAAAAGUAAA
rnacentral:misc_RNA from 1 species